ensembl:lncRNA
UUGCUUGCUUUUGUUUACCGGCGUUGCUAUGGUUACCGGUCUUGUAAGGAAGUGCGCCAAUUCUCGGAGUGCCAAUAGGCUACUUGCACAAGCACUUCCUGAUUCGCCGUAAUGCAGCUCAUCAGCUUCCGGUUCCAAGAUGGCAACGUUCUACACCCGGUGUUUACAGGAGCUUUCGACAAUAAAUAUCACAGAUGUGCAUCGUUUAUGUCGGGAAACAAAAACUCCGACAAGCAAAUUGGAGAAGGGGUUUAGGCUGUAUGCUUCGAACUACAUUCACAGCUACGAAGCCUCAGUCACCUCCCUUUUACCUGUAUUGUGACUUGUGCCACUACGCAACGGUUUCUCUACCGGAUGGCGUCGUAACUAAUCCCUGGCACUCAGCUGACAGGUUUGUUUAGUUUCCUCUUUGGGUGCAGUUCAAUAACUGCACCAACUUCCUGUAAGACAACCUGAUGUGUGUGGAUAUCCAAUGCCCUAAUGUGUUCUCUGUGCUCUCUUUUUAGAGUAGUGUUCUUGUCCGGGCUGUAUCUUUGGGAGGCGCGGUUUGGUGGUUUGCCGUGUACUUGCAUGUAGAUAAGUAGGGUGUUACCUGCUCAAUUCAUACAUUUUUACAAUUGUUUAUUAAUGGUAUUUUGUUCUAGGACUAGCAUUGGUGGAUUUGGAGACGGUCACAUUCUGGCGCUGGCGCUUCAGUGCUCCUAUUUUCAUCUCAUAGAAUAAUAACAUGACUUUUUUCAACCAUUUAAAAAUAAACUUUUGUAGACUUGAACUGGAAACACGUCUCUGUAAGUCUUUACACAAAUCUGUAUUAUAAAUGUUGUUUGUUUUUGUACUAUUGGCGUGGUCACAUUCAUAUAUAUAAAUUCUGAUAAGACAUGGACAUCCUUAACUCCAAUUACACCAUCUCUCAACAUGCCACUACUUGUGUCCUAUUGAUCAUUCACAGACCUAUUAAGAAAUAAUUUGGUGCAGUACUAUAAAUUAAUCUGUAACGUAAAGCUAUUUUCUAACCAACAAUGUCCCUGACUGACACAUAUCCCCGUCACGUAGGGACUAGGCUAAUAACAGACUAAUACAAAAAAUGUGACUGUGAAAAAGUGACUUCCCUUGUGUAAAUUCGGAUGUCUGCGUCGGAGCCAGCAAACCGCUGCAGUCCAAACUCUCGCUGGAGACGUAACUCCUGUAGCUCCUUUCUCAGCUCCUGUACUUCAUUUGAGACGCUUUCAGCAGCGGAUGCGGACAUAUCCAUGGCAGUCGGUUCAGAGAGAGCAGUAGUCUUGAUCGUUGAAUAGGAGAUCAACUUCAUCUUCCGGAGGGUCAGUUUCGACGAACCGAUCAACUCUCUCCCACACGCCGCGCCUUGGGGUUUCGACUGUAUACUGGUUCCACUCAAAAAGGGUCGCUACGGCACCUUUUGCAGGUCUCCUUCGACCCUGAGGAGUAGUUGGCUCAAUCAACUUGUCGGGACUAAAGUGUCUGCUACAGACCUUGGAGUGAGUGGUGAUGACAUAUGCAUCCCGGCGUAUGUUCACAAUCCAUCGACUCCUCACGUCAGUUUGGCUCGGAAAGCCAUGAAAACGUAAUACCUCGUUGAAUUUUGCUGACGCUGUACAGUGGGGGACACUGCAGUGCUCUGCGUAGGUUGUCUCCUGCCUCUGAAAAGGUCCAGUUUUUAGAUGUUUGCGGUCUUGAUCCAUGUUUACAGUAUCAAAGCCAGCAGGCUAGCGCGAUAAACAC